CUAACAAAGGAUCCCUUAGUAACUGCGAGUGAAGAGGGAAAAGCUCAAAUUUAAAAUCUGACAGUGUUUCACUGUCCGAGUUGUAACCUAGAGAAGUGUAACCUGUGCUGGACCGUGUACAAGUCUCCUGGAAUGGAGCAUCAUAGAGGGUGAGAAUCCCGUCUUUGACAUGGACUGCCAGUGCAUUAUGGUUGUGCUCUCAACGAGUCGAGUUGUUUGGGAAUGCAGCUCUAAAUGGGUGGUAAAUUCCAUCUAAAGCUAAAUAUUGGCGAGAGACCGAUAGCGAACAAGUACCGUGAGGGAAAGAUGAAAAGAACUUUGGAAAGAGAGUUAAACAGUAUGUGAAAUUGUUGAAAGGGAAACGUUUGAAGUCAGUCGCGUUGGCUGGGGAUCAACCUGACAUGUUGUUAGGUGUACUUCCUGGUUGACGGGUCAACAUCAGUUUUGACUGCCAGAGAAAGGCCAAGGGAAUGUGGCACCUUUGGGUGUGUUAUAACUUUUGGUCGUAUGUGGUGGUUGGGACUGAGGACAGCAGUGCGCCGCAAUGGCAGGGUUUCAACCACAUUCGCACUGAGGAUGUUGGCAUAAUGGCUUUAAGCGACCCGUCUUGAAACACGGACCAAGGAGUCUAACAUGCAUGCGAGUGUUUGGGUGGAAAACCCUUACGCGUAAUGAAAGUGAAAGUUGAGAUCCCUGUCGUAGGGAGCAUCGACGCCCGGACCAGAACUUUUGGGACGGAUCUGCGGUAGAGCAUGUAUGUUGGGACCCGAAAGAUGGUGAACUAUGCCUGAAUAGGGUGAAGCCAGAGGAAACUCUGGUGGAGGCUCGUAGCGAUUCUGACGUGCAAAUCGAUCGUCAAAUUUGGGUAUAGGGGCGAAAGACUAAUCG
rnacentral:rRNA from 1 species